UACGUAGGGUGCAAGCGUUGUCCGGAAUUAUUGGGCGUAAAGAGCUCGUAGGCGGUUUGUCGCGUCUGCUGUGAAAACGCGAGGCUCAACCUCGCGCCUGCAGUGGGUACGGGCAGACUAGAGUGCGGUAGGGGAGAUUGGAAUUCCUGGUGUAGCGGUGGAAUGCGCAGAUAUCAGGAGGAACACCGAUGGCGAAGGCGGCUCUCUGGGACGGUACUGACGCUGAGACGCGAAAGCGUGGGGAGCGAACAGG
rnacentral:rRNA from 1 species